rnacentral:lncRNA from 1 species
UCUCAGCCCUCACCCCACCCAGCAGGAGGGCGUGGGGAGGCGGGGCAGCGGGUUGGACCAGGUCUCCUGACAUGGGGCUGCAGCCAGGUGGGGUUGGGCUCCUGGGAUUCCCAUGCGCGUGGACGGUGGGUCAGAUGCUGUAGCCGCCAUCUGAAGCCGACGUGUGAAACUUCAGCUUCUUAGCAAGAUGUCUUAGAGGAUAAAAAUGAGCGGGCAGAUGAAGAGAUACUCAGGGUGAGGUUUGGAAGGUGCACCAGGCCCACCCCAUGGAUGUGGCUCAGAGAGCCUGGGAAACGUGAGGUCUGUGACCUGGAUCAGGCCCAGAGAGACCUGAGCAGGAGGCGUGUGAAGCCCCUGCGCCUGUGCGAGGAGGGAAGCUGUUUCAGGGAAUUUGCCUUUCUUUCCCUGUAGUUUCAGACUAGCUGAUAAAUUACCUAAAAUGUUACCACAAGAUGCACAAUGUAACCAUCACUCAUUAUCUUCAUGUUCCUGGAAUUUUUUUUUUUUUUUUGAGAUAGAGUGUAGCCUCAUGGCAGCCUCAACCUCCUGGGCUCAAGUUGUCAGAGGCGUGUGAACCAGAGCAACUCCAUCUUGAAUGGGGCUGCGUAAAAUGAAGCUGAGACCUGUGGGGCUGCAUUCCCAGACCGCUGUGGCAUUCUGAGUCACAGGGUGAGACAGGAGGUCAGCACAAGAUACAGGUCAUAAAGACCUUGCUGAUAAAACAGGUUGCAGCAAAGGAGCCGUCCAAAUCCCACCAAAACCAAGAUGGUGACAAGAGUGACCUCUGGCCGUCCUCACUGCCACACUCCCACCAGCCGUGACAGUUUACAGAUGCCAUGGCAACCUCAGGAAGUCACCAUAUAUGGUCUAAAAAGGGGAGGUAUGAAUAAUCCACCCCUUGUUUAGCAUAUCAUCAAGAAAUAACCACAAAAACGGAGAACCAGCAGUCCUCGGGGCUGCUUUGUCUAUGGAGUAGCCAUUCUUUUUUUUUUUUUCGAGAUGGAGUCUCGCUCUGUUGCCUGGGCUGGAGUGCGGUGGCAUGAUCUUGGCUCACUGCAACCUCUGCCUCCUGGGUUUAAGUGAUUCUCCUGCCUCAGCCGAGCUGAGUAGCUGGGCUUACAGGCACCCACCACCAUGCCCGGCUAAUUUUUUGUAUUUUUAGUAAAGCCAGGGUUUCAUUAUACUAGCCAGGCUGGUCUCGAACUCCUGACCUCAUGACCUGCCUGCCUCAGCUUCCCAAAGUACUGGGAUUACCGGUGUGAACCACCGUGCCCAGCCAGAGUAGCCAUUCUUUACUCCUUUACUUUCCUAAUAAACUUCCUUUCACUUUACUCUGUGAACUUGCCCUGAAUUCUUUCUUGUGAGAGAUCCAAGAACCCUCUCUUGGGGUCUGGAUUGGCACCCCUUUCCUGUAACAAAGCCAUUCUCCCACCUUAGCCUCCCAAAUAGCUAAGACCACGGGUGUGUGCCACCGUGCCUGGCUAAUUUUUAAUUUUUUUUUUUAAGAGAUAGGGUCUCCAGCCUGACCAACAUGGCAAAACCCUGUCUCUACUAAAUAUACAAACAAAUGAGCUGGGCAUGGGGGCGGGUGCUUGUAGUCCCAGCUACUUGGGAGGCUGAGGCAGGAGAAUUGAUUGAACCCGGGAGGCAGAGGUUGCAGUGAGCUGAGAUGGCACCAUUGCACUCCAGCCUGGGCACAGUGAGACUCCGUCUCAAAAAAAAAAAAAGAUGGAGUCUCACUGUGUAACCCAGGCUGGUCUCGAACUCCUGACCUCAAGUGAUCCUCCCGCUUUAGCCUCCCGAAGUGCUGUGAUUACAGGCAUGAGCCACCACACCCAGCCCACCGUGCAGGCAGUGACUCACACCUGUAAUCCCAGUACUUUGGGAGGCUGAGGUGGGAGAAUUGCUUGAGCUGAGGAGUUCAAGACCAGCCUUGGUGACACAGUGAAACCCUGUCUUUGCUAAAAAUAAGAAAAUUAGCCGGGCGUGAUAGCAUGUGCCUGUAGUCCCAGCUAUUCUGGAGGCUGAGGACAGGAUGGCUUGAGCCUGGGAGGUGGAGGUUGAGUGAGCUGAGAUCAGGCCACUGGGCGACAGAGCAAUAGCCUGGGAAAAGGAGAGAGGG